AUCCAGCUGACGAGUCCCAAAUAGGACUUGACGCGCGUUCUGGAU
rnacentral:hammerhead_ribozyme from 1 species